AAUAAAUUGCAUGCAAGCAAUCAAAGCAAUCCAACCUAAAAGUGCAACACCAAAUUCUCCAUCACCAGAAAGUACGACCCUACAACUAUUAGCAGAUGAACAAACAUGAGACAGAGUUUCGUUUUUUCCCUUCUCAAGUCACUAAUUUACCUAAUCUUCGAACAUGACACGACUGAGAGAGCACCGAACAAAGUUUUUAGUUACACAAUAGGAGGUGAACGAUCUAACUGAGGAUGCCACUGCAGCUUUUGUUCGCACAUCAACUUAUUUCUUCCUUCCACGGGUUGAUUUUGUCUUUUUGCCAGCACUGCACUGGCUGGUUUCUCUGAAAUUUCCUGCGAUUUAUACCAUACAGAAAUUCAUGUGCUGAAAAUUCUCGCGGAAAGCAAAAAAUCAUGUGCUGAAAUGUUGUCACACAGAAAAAAGAUAUAGUACUACCCCUGCAGUGCAAAUGCAUUGUUAGUGCACAAUUCCAUGCUAAACACAACCUAUAGGAGUCCCAGAGGGGAAAUCGUCUAAAAUUACUUCGGCACCACGCUCCGUUGUUGCACCCGCGUUUCUGGCAGUUCCGCAAUCUAUUGCCUCUCCGACUGAGGUAUCCCUCCCCACACAUCCCUAAGGCGUCCACCCAUCUGCUAAUGCCCUCAUGUCAUCGGGUGUGAUUACCCUUUUUUCUGGACGAAGGCAGCUGAACUAGAUGAAUAUACCAACAGAGUAUUUACCAAAUCUGAAGGUGCUACAAUUGAUCUACUCAUCUAUACCCUGAUUUGAAUAAUUGUCAGUGUGUGAACACGUUACUUAGCAUCUUUUCCAAUGUAUGCGAUGGGUUCAGCUAGAGAAAUUUUGAAGCAAUUAAGAUGGAGAUUUGUAUCAUAUCAUGUUGUUGUGUGUGAUGUUCUUUACUCUGCUUGUGGCAAUUUUGUACACGGAGAUAUGGUUUGGAUUAGUUAUGUGAUGUUCUGUCAUGUUUUUUGCGCUCCUUCUUAAGAGAGAAAAUUUUAGAUAUGUGUACUUAUUAUUGGUACCGGCACUGAUCGAUUGAUAAUUUGUGUGUUGUCUACAAUCUCACAUUUGCAGUUUUGAGCAUUGUUCUCUCCUUCUUUUCUUGAUAAAAAAUGAAUUCUUCAACUUUGUUUUCUCAUGAUCACAUCUUAAGUUGUAAGGAUAUUUUAAUAAUACAUUAAUAUUUUAGUAAUACAUUGCCCCAAAAGGCAAUUCGCUUUUACGUUUAUUCCAAAAGUUCAAUCUUUCACCUUAUUUUCUUUAAAGGUUGAAUGUUUCAUGUAUAAAUGAUAUGCAUUGUGAUAUUUCUUAACUUGAAUAUGAAUCUUUCACCUUAUUUUCCUUGAAGGUUGAAUGUUUCAUGAAUAAAUGAUAUGCAUUGUGAUAUUUCUUAACUUGAAUAUGAAUCUUUCACCUUAUUUUUCUUAAAGGUUGAAUGUGGACCUAUGUGUAAGGAAGAUAGCGCAUGUGAUUUUUUCUCCCGUUACAACGCACGGGCACAUUUACUAGUAAACUAGUAAUGGAUAGAUAGAAGGGGUACAUUUCCGAAACAACAUAACCAGAUAUAUGUUUCAACAAAGAUAAACUACUUGAUAGAUAGAUAGAUAGACAGAGAUACAGUUCCGAAACAACAUAACCCAAUAUAUGGUUCAUAAAAAAUAAACUACUGAUAGAUAAAUAGAUAGAUAGAUGCGAGUAACUGCAAUGGGACUAGUGCCAGCGACAGUGAGCGACUCUCUUCAGAGAAUUUUUGUUCAAAAGGACCCCCUGUCGAAUGAGAUUGUCAAAAUAGACCACCUAUGAGUGGAAAGGAGAAAAAAGACCCCCAUCCCGGAUGGCAGCAGGCGCGCCAGGCGGCACGUGGCACCUGCCGCCACCGCAUGAGGCGGCCGUAGGGCCUGCCGCCACCGCCCCUGGCGGCCGGGGCCUGCCGCCACCGGCUGAGGCGGCCAGCGCUGGAUCCCGUUCCCGCCCACUCCUGUCCGUAACGGACAAAGCAGGGUCUACCGCCUCAGCCAUCGAUGAGAUGGGGAAGCUGGGACAAACAUAGUAGCUUUGCAUUGCAUGCAUUGGUAGGAAGAUCGGACUUACACAGUUUUGACUCGGAGUAUGUUGAUGGCCUCCCAUAUUUUGUUAUUUUCCAUGGACGUCUUCUGAUUGUACUUCGACAUCUCCGCACGCAGCGCGUUAAUCUCGGCCAUGAAGUCUUCGCCGCUUUUGACGCCGCUGGUGCUGGUGCACAACAUUCGAAGCCCGCUCGCCGAAGGUGAGAAGCCUCCCCCGGUCCGGCCAAACAUCGGCCUUGAUACGGUGUUGAUGGCGAGGCGCGAGGUGGAUGGAGGACGGCAGGCCGCCGCCACGGCGCGUGCAGGNA
rnacentral:lncRNA from 1 species